AGAAAUUAAAUUCUUUGAUUUUGUUUUACUGUUAUUGAAAUUAGUUUUGAAGAAAUGUGACCCUUUUACUAUGAUUUGAAGAUAUGUAACACUUUAAUAUCUUGCAAUAAUGGCUCGUCUGCCUUUAGUACAAAGUCAGAGGCGUAAAAGAAUUGGUCUUGCAUUGACAAUAUGGUUGCAAAUGUGUACAGUUGCGAGUUGGUUCUUACUUUCAUUGGGUGUCAUCCAUAGCCUACAUACUUAUAGACCAAGGAUUAGAUCCUAUAUUUUAGAUUUUUAUGCAAAACGAGAUUAUGUGAAAAGACUUGUAUAUGCUAGUGACGAGACCUGUAUUGAACAAGUUAGGAUGAAUAGAACUACCUUUUUUAAACUAUGUGAGAUGUUACAAACUUUAGGGGGAUUGAAGUCGUCAAGGAACAUGCUUAUUGAUGAGCAAGUGACAAUGUUUUUACAUAUCAUUUCUCAUCAUAUUAAAAAUCGAGUUAUCAAGCAUCACUUUAAUAGGUCUGGGGAAACCGUUAGCAGAUCAUUUUUCAAUGUUUUAAAUGCUGUCAUACGCUUACAAGAUGUACUAUUUAAAAAGGCAGAGCCAAUUACAGCUAAUUCUACAGACUCAAGGUGGAAAUGGUUCAAGAAUUGCUUAGGUGCUUUAGAUGGAACCCACAUCAAGAUUAGAGUUUCAACAGUUGAUAAAUCUAGAUAUCGAACGCGAAAAGGUGACAUAGCAACAAAUAUGUUAGGUGUUUGUACACCUGAUAUGCAUUUUGUUUAUGUUCUUCCUGGUUGGGAAGGUUCUGUUGUUGAUGAACGGAUUCUUCGAGAUGCCAUUAGUAGGAGACAUGGAUUAAAAGUUUCUCAUGGUUGUUAUUAUCUAGUUGAUGUUGGAUACGCAAAUUGUGAGGGAUUUCUUGCACCUUUUAGAGGACAAAGAUAUCAUUUGAAUGAGUGGCGUCAGGGUUACCAGCCAAGUACUCCGGAAGAAUUUUUCAAUAUGAAACAUGCUUCAGCGCAUAAUGUUAUUGAAAGAUGCUUUGGGUUAUUAAAACUUAGAUGGGGAAUACUUAGGAGUCCAUUAUUCUAUCCUGUAAGGGUGCACAAUAGUAUUAUUUUUGCAUGUUGUUUGCUUCAUAAUUUUAUUUGAACCUAUAUGAGUCUUGAUCCUAUUGAAGCAGAGUUGGGAGAAGGAUUACCUAGUAAUGUGAUAGAUGACGAUGAACCGAAUAUCGUAAAUAUUCAUCCAUCGGAUGCAUGGGCUACUUGGAGGAUGGAGCUAGCCAACCAAAUGUUCGAUGAAUGGCAAGCAUCUAGAAAUUAGUUAGGUUUAAGAUAAUUAUGUCAGGUUUUUCACAAGCAAAUGUUUCUUCCCAAAAUUCUCGAGGAACCAAAACGAAAUGGCUUCUAGAAGAAGAUGCUGCGUUGGUUGCCUGUAUAGUUGAUUUGCACAAUGUUGGAACCUUUAAUGCUGAUAAGAGAUUUAAAGAUGGUUAUUUAAAUGAGUUGGAAAAAAUGUUAGAAAAAAUUUUUGUGUUGAUGAUAUUUUGGUAACUUUUAUAUUUGUAAUAUUUAGAUGGUAUAAUGACAUGAUAGAAUGUCAUUACAAUGUUGUAACUUUUGAGGUUGUAAAACUGUAUAACAUAUGGAUUAUGACAUAUAAAUUAAUGAAAUCAUGUAACUUUUUGUUAA